GACGAACGCUGGCGGCGCGCCUAACACAUGCAAGUCGAACGAGCGAGAGAGAGCUUGCUUUCUCGAGCGAGUGGCGAACGGGUGAGUAACGCGUGAGGAACCUGCCUCAAAGAGGGGGACAACAGUUGGAAACGACUGCUAAUACCGCAUAAGCCCACGGCUCGGCAUCGAGCAGAGGGAAAAGGAGCAAUCCGCUUUGAGAUGGCCUCGCGUCCGAUUAGCUAGUUGGUGAGGUAACGGCCCACCAAGGCAACGAUCGGUAGCCGGACUGAGAGGUUGAACGGCCACAUUGGGACUGAGACACGGCCCAGACUCCUACGGGAGGCAGCAGUGGGGAAUAUUGCACAAUGGGGGAAACCCUGAUGCAGCGACGCCGCGUGGAGGAAGAAGGUCUUCGGAUUGUAAACUCCUGUUGUUGAGGAAGAUAAUGACGGUACUCAACAAGGAAGUGACGGCUAACUACGUGCCAGCAGCCGCGGUAAAACGUAGGUCACAAGCGUUGUCCGGAAUUACUGGGUGUAAAGGGAGCGCAGGCGGGAGAACAAGUUGGAAGUGAAAUCCAUGGGCUCAACCCAUGAACUGCUUUCAAAACUGUUUUUCUUGAGUAGUGCAGAGGUAGGCGGAAUUCCCGGUGUAGCGGUGGAAUGCGUAGAUAUCGGGAGGAACACCAGUGGCGAAGGCGGCCUACUGGGCACCAACUGACGCUGAGGCUCGAAAGUGUGGGUAGCAAACAGGAUUAGAUACCCUGGUAGUCCACACCGUAAACGAUGAUUACUAGGUGUUGGAGGAUUGACCCCUUCAGUGCCGCAGUUAACACAAUAAGUAAUCCACCUGGGGAGUACGACCGCAAGGUUGAAACUCAAAGGAAUUGACGGGGGCCCGCACAAGCAGUGGAGUAUGUGGUUUAAUUCGACGCAACGCGAAGAACCUUACCAAGUCUUGACAUCCCUUGACGAUGCUGGAAACAGUAUUUCUCUUCGGAGCAAGGAGACAGGUGGUGCAUGGUUGUCGUCAGCUCGUGUCGUGAGAUGUUGGGUUAAGUCCCGCAACGAGCGCAACCCUUAUGGUCAGUUACUACGCAAGAGGACUCUGGCCAGACUGCCGUUGACAAAACGGAGGAAGGUGGGGAUGACGUCAAAUCAUCAUGCCCUUUAUGACUUGGGCUACACACGUACUACAAUGGCGUUAAACAAAGAGAAGCAAGACCGCGAGGUGGAGCAAAACUCAGAAACAACGUCCCAGUUCGGACUGCAGGCUGCAACUCGCCUGCACGAAGUCGGAAUUGCUAGUAAUCGUGGAUCAGCAUGCCACGGUGAAUACGUUCCCGGGCCUU
rnacentral:rRNA from 1 species